AAAUUUCAAAAAAACCCCGAAAACCCAAAGUACGUGCUGUUUUACUGAAUUUUUUUUUGGAAAUGCUAAAUAUACUUAUUCUAGUGAAUUUAAAAAUAUUUAUCAGGCCGGGCAUUGUGGCUCAUGUCUGUAAUCCCAGCACUUUUGGGAGUCCGAGGCAGGUGGAUUGCUAGAGCUCAGGAGUUUGAGACCAGCCUGGGCAACAUGGCAAAACCCCAUCUCUACCAAAAAAAUCACCCAGGCGUUGUGAGCGCCUAUAGUCCCA
rnacentral:lncRNA from 1 species